ensembl:snRNA U1 U1 spliceosomal RNA
AUACUUACCUGGCAGGGGUCACACCAUGAUCAAGAAGGUGCUUUGCCCAGGGCGAGGCUUGGCCAUUGUACUCCGGCUUCCUGACCCCUGAGAAUUCCCCAAAAAUGUGGGAAUCUCUGCUGUAGAAUUUAUGGUAGUGGGGGACUGCGUUUGCACUCUCCCCUC